AACGCGAAGAACCUUACCGGGGCUUGACAUCUGCGGAAAUCCUACGAAAGUAGGCUUCGGAGCAAUCCGACCGCAAGACAGGUGCUGCAUGGCUGUCGUCAGCUCGUGCCGUGAGGUGUUGGGUUAAGUCCCGCAACGAGCGCAACCCUUGUCGUGUGUUGGUCCAAAAGACCUCUCACACGAGACCGCCGGUGAUAAGCCGGAGGAAGGUGGGGAUGACGUCAAGUCAGCAUGGCCCUUACGUCCCGGGCUACACACGUGCUACAAUGGGCGCGACAACGAGCUGCGAAGCCGCAAGGCCAAGCCAAUCUCUUAAACGCGUCCUCAGUUCGGAUUGAAGGCUGCAACUCGCCUUCAUGAAGUCGGAAUCGCUAGUAACCGCAGAUCAGCUACGCUGCGGUGAAUACGUUCCCGGGCCUUGUACACACCGUGUCGA
rnacentral:rRNA from 1 species